GGCACGGUGCCAGAGUGGUUAAUGGGUAUGACUCGAACGCUCUAGCAAAUAGAUAUCAUAUGCCUUCGGGCGCGCAGGUUCGAAUCCUGCCCGUGUCG